rnacentral:misc_RNA from 1 species
GCCACACAAACAGCAAAAGACUAGGAUUUUAUUCAUUUCUAGGUAAUGAAAUCAAAGGAGAACAUAUAAUGAUUCGAUUCGAAUUUUACAUUGAAUGAUUUAUCAGAUUUUUUAUUUGCACUAUUUAGUAUGCAUAAUAAUUGGACUUCUCACCCUGUGAGUGCCAUCAGACCACACCAGAGAUGAAGACACUAUCGUUCUGAUUGGCAAACCGCCACCAGUAACCCACACAAAAAGAAUGCUUCUGAUUUAAGGACUUGAAGGAGAGAACUUGAGGAUACACUGUAAUAUUAAGUUUUGAGCUUGGAAAGACUAUGGCCUUGUAUGUGGAUUUUGCAAGGCCAACAUUUGUUACUGUUCUUUCAAAUCUAACUCUGAAGGAUUUGCUUGGAAAUACUUGAGCAGUCAUUGAAGGAUAAUUGAAAUUCUUAGGUGAUGCUUUAUUACCACCCCUUGGGCAACUGCUGUUAUCCCCUGAUAUGCCUCUAAUUGUCUCUAUAGAAUAGCCUAUGCUGCACAACAGUUUUACAGUCAUCUUUCAAUGCUUCAUCCACCAAUCCAGGAUUAAUAGCCUCAAGUGGAUUUAAAUGCCCAGAUCCAUACGCAAAUUCAGCAUCUGAAUUCUCGGCAGGAUUCACGCACCAAGCAGUAGUCAUAAUAGUGGAUUUGAUGGCUGAGGGAGACCAAUCAGGGUGAAAAGUCUUGACAUAAGCUGCUACACCAGCAGCGUGGGGGCAAGACAUGGAAGUUCCUGAGAGUACAUUGUAUUCAACUCGCCUCUUAUCAUCACUGCUAGAUGAGGGUGAAACAAUAGGUACGUAUGCUGCUUAUAUAUCUACCCCUGGGGCACUUACAUCUGGCUUCAUAAUAUCUUGUGCUAUGAUAUUUGGGCCACGUGAAGAGAAGGAAGCAACUAUAGGCGCAGUAGAAUCCUUAAUGACUUCACUUUUUAAUACAGCUGCUUGAGGUGAUCUGUAAAGGCACACAGAUUAGACAUGACAUCAUUUUGCAAUCACUUAAAACUUGUUACUUAUACCGAUCCAUACUUUGCGGAACUCAUGUAGGACUUGAUCAAACUGGAGUCAUCAGAAGUUAAAGCAGACGCAGGAAAUGGGACAACAAAAGGAACAUUAUCAGGUUGGCUGGUUUGCUCGAUUGACCCAAGUGCACUAGACCUCUGUAUAUCCACUAAAUUGAUCACAAAGCACAAUCUUACCCCGCACUAAAGUGCUGUCUAUGCAUUCAUUGUAACACCCCAUUUGUAUAGCCGAGCACCAACAACAGAGUAUAGACUUGAGGCAUUAGUUCCAUAUACCAAAGGAAACUUUGCUCCAUUUAGAGUGAAGGAAUUGACUGAACUUCCCUGUUUACCAAAGUGGAUUGCAAACAAACACAAGGUGAAACUUGUAUGCAUAUUAGUCUAUUUGAUAAUAAAAUGAGUUCAUGAUGCAUACAAUUAAUGUCUUUCCGUUUCCAAGAACAACUUUAUCAAUGAACCCGCAAUCUAUGCUGCUUGCUGCUACAGCAAGCAUCCAUAGCGCUACAGUUGCCACAGUUCCUGCUGUAGGACCACUAUUGCCUGCAGAAUUUACUGUAAGUAUUCCUUUUUCAAUGGCAUGAAAAGAACCAACUGAGAUUUCAUCUGCAGGAAUAUCAACUGCAAAAUCUGGUCCUAAUGAGACUGUUAUAAUGUCUACUCCAUCUACAAUUGCAUCAUCAAAUGCAGCCAAGAUAUCAACUCCUUGGCAACUUCCAUCCGACUGGCAGGCUUUAUAUGAGCGAUUCUGGCAGAAGGUACCCCUCCUCUUGCAAUGCCUUCUGCCAAUCCAUAGAAGUUGACAUCUUUUACUUUGUUCCCAGCUGCUGUAGAGGCAGUAUGGGAUCUAUGACCAGUAUCAUCCCUAGCAGAAUCAGCAGGUGCUAAGGAGGAAUAAAAUCGGGCUCCAAUGAUCUUGCUUUAAAAUAAGCAUUCAAUAUUGUUCAUUAAGUCUCAUGAUUCGAGGCAUAAAAUAUAAAUUACGUUCCACGUAAAUAUAACUGAAGCUCUAAUGGAUUAUGGAUAAACAGUUUGUAUAGCACUACUAGAUUACAUAAUGUUACUAUAGGAGAAGAAAUUACUUGUUGCAAGUGAAGUUCUUGCCACCUUCACAUUUACCCUUCCACUUCUUUGGAGCAGGACCAAAACCUUCGUCGCUAAAACUUGCUGAUUCAGGCCAGAGUCCAGUAUCAAUAACACCAACUAUAGUAUCACUUUCAACAGUAUGAUUCUGGGUGAUAUUCUCUUGGAAACCCAUGAAGUUCCAAGAUCUGGUUGUUCGAACUCUGAAAGUUCUGCUGGGGAACACAGAGACUACACCCCCUCCAUCCCAGCUAAUUAGUGACUCUUACGACUAGUUAGCUUGGCAGCAAAUCCAUUGAAACUUCUUUUGUAACUUCUAAUCAGUGAAUUAUCUAGAAAGCUGCAGACCACCGUAGAGAGGAGACCAUAUAGAAUACAAUGUACAUAUUAAUCUUUAAAUCUAAAAACAUUACCUGGCAUCAACAACUGCUUGAAGCAAACUAAGGUGUUGAGCUGAUGGUGAAUACUCCCCUUCUGGAAGUGAUCCCAAGUACACAAUAUAGGCCUGAAACAUAAAAAUUGACAUGGACAAACAAAAAAUUAAUAGUAAAUUUUUACAGAAGAAAGAAAGUAGGGCUUACUUUUCUAUCUUCAUCAGUUGCACUGCACAGCAAGCCUAGAGUUACUAUGAGAAAGGAAGAAAAGAAGGAAAAGUGGAAAACAAUAUAGCUUUAUUUUAGUCAUUGCUAAAUUCUCAUAACAUUAGAGCAGUCUAUGUUUUAUACUGAGUUUAAGAAAGUUUUAAAUUUUUAAGUUUCCUGUCAAAUGAAUAUUUGGAAUUACAGCUGAAAUACAUCAAAUGCAUUAGGGACAAUGAAUUUCUUUACUAUAAAAGAAAGAUAAGGAUCCUGUAUAAUUAAUAAGAAUAUAUAUAUUUAAAAUUACAUUCACAGAAAGUAAAAUAUGUUUAUAUCUAUCUAUCUAUUUAUCUAUAUAAAGUAAAAUUAUAUGUGCAUAAGCAUUAGCUAGUUCCAUAUAUAUAUUUGGACAUUAUCA